rnacentral:sRNA from 1 species
AUUACUGGGAUGCGGCCAGUACAGGCAGCUCCUUGAGCAUCACUGGUCCUGGGACCCACCCCAGUGGGCAGGCCCCUUGGGCAGGGAAUGGGGCAGGGGAGGAGGCUGGGCUGGCUGGUGGCUUCAUGGCCCCUGAGCUAGUCACCUAGCUGCUGAGAGAUGCCAAUCUCACGGGCUUGAUUUAUCCCCAUGACAUUUGUGCUCCUCAGCAGUUUUCAGCUGGAGGAGCAGCUGAGCCGCCUUCAGCGUGAGAAGAAUGAGAUCCAGAACCGGCUGGAGGAAGAUCAGGAAGACAUGAAUGAAUUGAUGAAGAAGCACAAGGCUGCCGUGGCUCAGGCUUCCCGGGACCUGGCUCAGAUAAAUGAUCUCCAAGCUCAGCUAGAAGAAGCCAACAAAGAGAAGCAGGAGCUGCAGGAGAAGCUACAAGCCCUCCAGAGCCAGGUGGAGUUCCUGGAGCAGUCCAUGGUGGACAAGUCCCUGGUGAGCAGGCAGGAAGCUAAGAUACGGGAGCUGGAGACACGCCUGGAGUUUGAAAGGACGCAAGUGAAACGGCUGGAGAGCCUGGCUAGCCGUCUCAAGGAAAACAUGGAGAAGCUGACUGAGGAGCGGGAUCAGCGCAUUGCAGCCGAGAACCGGGAGAAGGAACAGAACAAGCGGCUACAGAGGCAGCUCCGGGACACCAAGGAGGAGAUGGGCGAGCUUGCCAGGAAGGAGGCCGAGGCGAGCCGCAAGAAGCACGAACUGGAGAUGGAUCUAGAAAGCCUGGAGGCUGCUAACCAGAGCCUGCAGGCUGACCUAAAGCUGGCAUUCAAGCGCAUCGGGGACCUGCAGGCUGCCAUCGAGGAUGAGAUGGAGAGUGAUGAAAAUGAGGACCUCAUCAACAGUGAGGGAGACUCUGAUGUGGACUCGGAGCUGGAGGACCGUGUUGACGGGGUCAAGUCCUGGUUGUCAAAAAACAGGGGACCUUCCAAGGCAGCUUCUGAUGAUGGCAGCUUAAAGAGUUCCAGCCCCACCAGCUACUGGAAGUCCCUUGCCCCUGAUCGGUCAGAUGAUGAGCACGACCCUCUCGACAACACCUCCAGACCCCGAUACUCCCACAGCUAUCUGAGUGACAGCGACACAGAGGCCAAGCUGACGGAGACUAACGCAUAGCCCAGGGGAGUGGUUGGCAGCCCUCUCACCCCAGGGCCUGUGGCUGCCUGGGCGCCUCUCCCAGGAAGUGGUGGGGCACCAGUCUCCCCCACCCGACUGCUGAUCUGCAUGGGAAACACCCUGACCUUCUGUCAGGGGGACUUUCCAGGCUAUGGGUGUCUGAUGUCUCCACGUGGAAGAGGUGGGGGAAAGAGGAGUUUCUGAAGAGAACUUUUUGCUCCUCUGUCUCAAAAUGCCAGACUCUUGGCUUCUACCCUGGGUCACCGUGGGCAGUGGCAGGUGGCCU